rnacentral:rRNA from 1 species
UACAGAGGUCUCAAGCGUUGUUCGGAUUCAUUGGGCGUAAAGGGCGCGUAGGCUGCGGGGCAAGUCGGGUGUGAAAUCUCAGAGCUUAACUCCGAAACUGCAUUCGAUACUGCCGUGCUUGAGGACUGGAGAGGAGACUGGAAUUUACGGUGUAGCGGUGAAAUGCGUAGAUAUCGUAAGGAAGACCAGUGGCGAAGGCGGGUCUCUGGACAGUUCCUGACGCUGAGGCACGAAGGCCAGGGGAGCAAACGGG